UAUAUUUUUGGUAUUUUGCCUUUUUUCUACACCACAUAUAUCAGAAUCUUUUUCAUCGU
rnacentral:ribozyme from 15 species